AUUAGCAGCCUAAAUAUACUAAAGCAUCAGAUCCCAUCUGAUCUUGGAAGCUAAGCAGGGUCAGCCCUGAUUAGUUCUUGGGUGGGAAACCACUAGUGGAAACUUAUGUGCUGUAGACU
rnacentral:rRNA from 1 species